rnacentral:rRNA from 1 species
CGACCGGCGCACGGGUGAGCAACACGUAUCCAACCUGCCGAUGACUCGGGGAUAGCCUUUCGAAAGAAAGAUUAAUACCCGAUGGCAUAGUUCUUCCGCAUGGUAGAACUAUUAAAGAAUUUCGGUCAUCGAUGGGGAUGCGUUCCAUUAGCUUGUUGGCGGGGUAACGGCCCACCAAGGCAUCGAUGGAUAGGGGUUCUGAGAGGAAGGUCCCCCACAUUGGAACUGAGACACGGUCCAAACUCCUACGGAAGGCAGCAG